rnacentral:lncRNA from 1 species
AAUUGAAACCUACGGCUAAUGCAUGAAAAGAUUAAUGGACAUGGCCAAAACAAGUGAAUGAGUGAAGUUAAUUGAUUGUGAUUAUGAAAGUGAAGUCAAAGUAUGAUUAAGAUUAAUUCAAAAGAAGUAUUAUGAAAUGGAGUUUGUGAAAAGAGUCAAGGACUUGAGUCCAGGUUUUUAGUUUGAAAAAAAUGAAGAUGUUUGCACAAUGUCUAAGUCAAGUUUAAGAUCAAAGUGUGAAAAGGUUCUAGGACACAAUGAGGAUGAAUGAGUGAGGAUGGAAAGUAA